UUUAAGAGACCAAUUCUAAGUCAGAGAGGA
rnacentral:piRNA from 1 species